CCCCGGUAAACGGCGGCCGUAACUAUAACGGUCCUAAGGUAGCGAAAUUCCUUGUCGGGUAAGUUCCGACCUGCACGAAUGGCGUAAUGAUGGCCAGGCUGUCUCCACCCGAGACUCAGUGAAAUUGAACUCGCUGUGAAGAUGCAGUGUACCCGCGGCAAGACGGAAAGACCCCGUGAACCUUUACUAUAGCUUGACACUGAACAUUGAGCCUUGAUGUGUAGGAUAGGUGGGAGGCUUUGAAGUGUGGACGCCAGUCUGCAUGGAGCCGACCUUGAAAUACCACCCUUUAAUGUUUGAUGUUCUAACGUGGACCCGUAAUCCGGGUUGCGGACAGUGUCUGGUGGGUAGUUUGACUGGGGCGGUCUCCUCCUAAAGAGUAACGGAGGAGCACGAAGGUUGGCUAAUCCUGGUCGGACAUCAGGAGGUUAGUGCAAUGGCAUAAGCCAGCUUGACUGCGAGCGUGACGGCGCGAGCAGGUGCGAAAGCAGGUCAUAGUGAUCCGGUGGUUCUG
rnacentral:rRNA from 1 species